rnacentral:rRNA from 1 species
UACGUAGGGGGCAAGCGUUGUCCGGAUUUAUUGGGCGUAAAGAGCUCGUAGGCGGUCUGUCGCGUCUGCUGUGAAAACUCGGGGCUUAACCCCGGGCCUGCAGUGGGUACGGGCAGACUAGAGUGCGGUAGGGGAGACUGGAAUUCCUGGUGUAGCGGUGAAAUGCGCAGAUAUCAGGAGGAACACCGGUGGCGAAGGCGGGUCUCUGGGCCGUAACUGACGCUUAGGAGCGAAAGCGUGGGGAGCGAACAGG